CCCUAAAAAGUGUCAGGAAUUUCCAGCAAGUUCCAGAGAGCAGGUUUCCAGCAAGUUUGGUCAGUAUGACACCACAGCGAUAUCUCUGCCAUUCACUGAACUUGGAUUCUUCCUUCUUCAGUGAGAGAUGUUCAAGAAAAAGAACAACUUCAGUGGAAGAAGAAGAAGAUAGGAGCCCAGGUCCUGUGUUUCACCAAGACAGCCGUGCAAAGCAGAUGCUGCCAAAAAGGUGCAAAGUGGUUUGUCAGCUCUUCUGCAUGUUCUAACAAAUUAGACAUGCAUCCCAAAAGGUUUCCUAGACUUUCCAUCACCACCAGUGAAUUCUGAGUGACAAUAGUGUGGAAUUUGGAAGAAUGGAAGAGAAACUGAAGUGGAGAGAUGGUGAAAGAGAAGAAAAAAUGAAGAAAGAUGCUUGCAAAAAUACUGCUGUGGGUCCUGAGAUGAGGAUUCUGGGAGGGCUGAAAUGGAUGCCCCUGACAGCUCCCUUUGAGUUCCUGUUCAUCUGAAGUACACCAGCUUUCUAGAUAUGCUGUCACUUUCCUUCUGCAGAGCCACAGUGGUGUCCUGUCUUCUCAGACCUCUUCUCACCUCAAAUCACUUAGGACUCGGCCACCAGACAGAUUUGGGAUUUCAGAACUUUUCAGAUGUUAGAAAGGGCAUGAGCAUGAAGAUGCUGACAAAGCUGUUCCUACACUUCCUGUGCUGGCUGGGAAGGGAUCUGAUUCGGGCUGAGCCUUAAGAAUCACAGUUCCAAGCUUUCUUCUCAUUCCAGAUUUUAGUCGGGAAAGUAGGCAUUCUGGAAGUAGAGUCCGUAUCUAUACUUUAUAUGUUCCCCUUAGGUUUGAUGAGCAAAAAGUAAUAAAGGAAACACAAACUCAGGAAAGAAAAGAUUUUUCUAGGAAAGAUCUAUUUACACUACUUAGGCCUCUACCCUUCUUCCCUUGGGAGUUUCUUAGCUUAGCUUGGAAGAUCACAGAUUAAAGUACAAUAUAGCAAGUAUUAUUAAAAACAACCUGUAAAACUGCAUUAUCCCAAAGAUUUAGCAGCUAAUUUUCUGUUGCCUUUAGUUCUCACAUCAUUUUUUUUUUCAGGGUAUAACCUUCUUUAAAUUUUAUGCCCUGCUCUCAAAUUCCUUCUGGGUUUAAUGACUAAUCUCUUUAUUUGUGUUUACCCUGGUGAAGCCUGUAGAAAGAAAAUCAUAAAUUAAUGGCAUAUAUUUGCAGCUAUAAACGGGACAGAUUCAGAAAUAUACAAACAUGCCUAGUAACCAAUUUCCUGAAAUUGCAAUGCUCAACUCCCAAUUAACCUUAGAAUUUACAAGUCUAAUCAAAU
rnacentral:lncRNA from 1 species